ACAUCAUCUUGUCGUUGAAUAUGCUCGAAGUACAGGGACUUUUAUGGAAUUCAUUGACAUGAUAGUCAAGCAAGAUGUCAACAUCUCGUCCAACCCUCUUCCAACAAAGCCAAAGCUGACCAAGGAUCUUCACCCUUUCAAAACAGGCUGUAUACAGGACAAGUUAUUCCAGUAGGAACAGGGCUAUAUAUAUGCAAGCAAUGCUCAAUUAAGAUGAAUUUUUGUAAAAGUGACAAUAGCCAGGUCAAACUAAAUACAUGUAUAGAAGAAGAUAUUGAUCUAGACUCGCAGCUAACCUUUCUGUCAGUGUCAACAACAACUGAACUUUCACAGCAGUCAACAUCAGAUUUGGAGACUGAUAAUGCUUCUAACAGAAACAAUUUCAACCAACCAAACAAGCAACAGAAACUUUCCAACUUUAAAACAUCAGUUAAAUCUACAAUGGGAUGAUGUCUCAAAAAAUAACAGUUCAUCAUUUAUGGAGAUUUUAAUGUUAUGGUUUUUCUUUUACAAG